UAUAAAUAUUAAUUUUGAAUAGUGUAAUUCAACAAACUCGCACGUUUGUAAAAACGUAAGAAAUCAAAGUAUCUUGGUCCCCUCUCCUCUUAUGAAUUGAUCCAGAAGUCGGUUUUGAGUAUCAAAAUUCUGGUAAAUCGUUGAUUCAUCUAGUGUCUAAAUAUAUGAUUUAUUUACGAGUUUACUAGAUCAAAAAUUUUCCAUUUUUGGUGUUAAAAAAAAUUAUAGAUCCAAAUCCAAUGUCACAUUCAGUAAAGAUUUAUGAUACAUGUAUAGGAUGUACUC
rnacentral:lncRNA from 1 species